rnacentral:rRNA from 1 species
AUUCCAGCUCCAAUAGCGUAUAUUAAAGUUGUUGCAGUUAAAAAGCUCGUAGUUGGAUUUCUUGUAUAUGAAGCGGGUCGGCUCAAAGAGUCUGUACUAGCUUUCAUAUACAAUCCUCGUAACAAGCUAUUGAAUGAUUAAAUUCUUUCGUUAGUGAGUUGCGUCAUUUACUGUGAACAAAUUAGAGUGUUUAAAGCAGGCAAAUGCUGUGAAUACAUUAGCAUGGAAUAAUAAGAUAGGACCUAGAGUCUAUUUUGUUGGUUGCGAUUUUAGGUAAUGAUUAAUAGGGAUAGUUGGGGGUAUUCAUAUUCAAUUGUCAGAGGUGAAAUUCUUGGAUUUAUGGAAGAUGAACAACUGCGAAAGCAUUCACCAAGGAUGUUUUCAUUA